GUCUGGGAAACUGCCUGAUGGAGGGGGAGUAACUACUGGAAACGGUAGCUAAUACCGCAUAACGUCGCAAGACCAAAGAGGGGGACCUUCGGGCCUCUUGCCAUCGGAUGUGCCCAGAUGGGAUUAGCUAGUAGGUGGGGUAACGGCUCACCUAGGCGACGAUCCCUAGCUGGUCUGAGAGGAUGACCAGCCACACUGGAACUGAGACACGGUCCAGACUCCUACGGGAGGCAGCAUG
rnacentral:rRNA from 1 species